AGCACCAGCCGCAGCCUGCGGUCAGGAACGGUCCGGCCAGAGACACACUUUGGAGUCAUUAGCAGGUGAAGGAAUUUAAAGCCACAGGGCUGUUGGAGUCGCAUAGGAAGUGAGGGCAGAUUGAAUUGAAAAGAAGAGCAGUGUGUUUCCCACGUCUGCAAAACUUCCCAGAAGCCCAGUUGUAGACUGACCAGGGGAGCAGAGCCCUGCAGUCCGUGGACACAGAGGCACGGCGGGCCAGCGGCCAGUGGCCAGCCGGAAAAUGGAAGGAGCCCUGGAAACGCCUGUGUGCACCUGGCAGGCAUUUACAGCCAUGAAUUUUCCUCUAGUAGGUGCUUUAGAUGAAUUCCAUAAGUUUUGAUCUUUCAAGGUCAUUUACUUGAUAGAAUGGAAACAAACAAAUGUGGAUGUUGACAGCUUCGCCACUGGGAGAUACAUGACCUUGAACUUGUAACAGUGGGCCUGCUACAGUGGUUACCUCCCCAAGCUGUUAGGAAGGAGAGAAAUCUGAGUUUCAUGAAUUCAGUUGUAAAAACAUUUCACAUUCAUGAAUCUCUUCAAAACACUGGAAAAUGUUUUCACGGAAGGCCAGUCCAGCUACAGUUCUCAACUCUACAGGGCAGGUCUCGCGCCACCUGUCUUUCUGGAGAAGCCAGCCCAAGUUGACAAGUUCAGCCUGGAGUUCAGGCGCUGUGUGUUUGUUUUUGAGCCAUUUCAAGCUGUUUUGAUGAGACCAUUAACCCUCCCAGGGAAUCAGCUCUACCACUAAGUCUCCCCUGGGAGAGGGUGGCCUGGACACCUGCAUCCUGCUGUUUGCCCGUGAAAGAGCUGCUGGGGACAUGCUGGGGUAACUGACAGUCUUGAACUGAGCACAGCCCCUUCCUCCCAUCACUGACUAAUCCAAGCACUUACAAGGGUGUCUCCAGAAUCCUAAGAAAAAGCCCUGGGACUGGGGGCACAGUUGCUCUUGACGUGGAACAUAGUAUGGACUCAAGAAGGUGUUGAGAGAAAUAAGUGAAUGAAUUUUGUCGUAUUCGGAAGAACUAAGACGCUUAAUACAAAAGCUUGGGGCUUUUUGUUGCUAAAGGUAAUAACAACAACAGCUUACCAAAAAUAAAAAAGUCAUUCCCCAGCCUAUAUAAGUAAAAGGGGAAGCAGAGGUAGUUUAUGUGUGUGCUGGUGGGAAUAUACAAAGGAGCUUGUUAUUUUUAAUACUUCCUUAUCACAGAGUUGUUUUGAACUAGAGAGGGAAUUCUUGCAAAGGCACAUUUCUUUCUUUCUUUUUCUUUUUCUUUCUUUUUUUUAAAAAAAACUGAAUUGAAAAAAAAAAUGA